UAAGGAAUAUUGGUCAAUGGAGGCAACUCUGAACCAGCCAUGCCGCGUGCAGGAUGAAGGCCCUAUGGGUCGUAAACUGCUUUUUAUACCAGAGAAAACCCCAGUACGUGUACUGGGUUGAUAGUAUGGUAAGAAUAAGCAUCGGCUAACUUCGUGCCAGCAGCCGCGGUAAGACGAAGGAUGCAAGCGUUAUCCGGAUUCAUUGGGUUUAAAGGGUGCGUAGGCGGACUUGUAAGUCAGUGGUGAAAUCUCUCAGCUUAACUGAGAAACUGCCAUUGAUACUGCAGGUCUAGAGUAUAGAUGACGUUGGCGGAAUAUGACAUGUAGUGGUGAAAUACUUAGAUAUGUCAUAGAACACCGAUUGCGAAGGCAGCUAACGAAACUAUAAACUGACGCUGAGGCACGAAAGUGCGGGGAUCAAACAGGAUUAGAUACCCACGUAGUCCCUGAGCGGGCUGGCAAGGCGCAU
rnacentral:rRNA from 1 species